rnacentral:rRNA from 1 species
AUUGAACGCUGGCGGCAUGCCUUACACAUGCAAGUCGAACGGCAGCGCGGGCUUCGGCCUGUCGUCGCGUGGCGAACGGGGGAGUAAUAGAUAUGAACGGGCCCCGUAGUGGGGGAGAGCGCGGCGAAAGGCGGAUGAAUACCGCAAACGCCCUGUGGGUGAAAACGGGGGAUCUGCGCACCUCGCGCUCUUGGAGCGGCCGGUGGCAGAUUAGCGAGUUGGUGGGGUAAAGGCCUACCAAGGCGACGAUCUGUAGCUGGUCUGAGAGGACGACCAGCCACACUGGGACUGAGACACGGCCCAGACUCCUACGGGAGGCAGCAGUGGGGAAUUUUGGACAAUGGGCGAAAGCCUGAUCCAGCAAUGCCGCGUGUGUGAUGAAGGCCUUCGGGUUGUAAAGCACUUUUGGCGGGAACGAAAAGGAUUGUGCUAAUACCACGGUUCGAUGACGGUACCCGCAGAAUAAGCACCGGCUAACUACGUG